UAAGACGUAGGAUGCAAGCGUUGUCCGGAUUUAUUGGGCGUAAAGAGUUCGUAGGCGGUUUGUUAAGUCUGAUGUAAAAGACUGGGGCUCAACCUCGGGACUGCAUUGGAUACUGGCAGACUGGAGUACGGUAGAGGCAAGUGGAAUUCCCAGUGUAGCGGUGAAAUGCGUAGAUAUUGGGAAGAACACCGGUGGCGCAAGCGACUUGCUGGGCCGUAACUGACGCUGAGGAACGAAAGCUAGGGUAGCGAAUGGGAUUAGAUACCCCAGUAGUCCUAGCCGUAAACGAUGGAUACUAGGCGUAGUGGGUAUCGACCCCCGCUGUGCCGCAGCUAACGCGAUAAGUAUCCCGCCUGAGUAGUACGGCCGCAAGGUUG
rnacentral:rRNA from 1 species